rnacentral:tRNA from 1 species
GCUCCCAUGGCGUAGUGGUCACUGCGCUCGCCUGGCACGCGGGAACCCGGGUUCGAUUCCCGGCGGGGUCA